GCCCUACGGGGCGCAGCAGUGGGGAAUAUUGCACAAUGGGGGAAACCCUGAUGCAGCGACGCCGCGUGAAGGAAGAAGUAUUUCGGUAUGUAAACUUCUAUCAGCAGGGAAGAAAAUGACGGUACCUGACUAAGAAGCCCCGGCUAACUACGUGCCAGCAGCCGCGGUAAUACGUAGGGGGCAAGCGUUAUCCGGAUUUACUGGGUGUAAAGGGAGCGUAGGCGGCGAUGCAAGUCUGGAGUGAAAGGCAUGGGCUCAACCUGUGGACUGCUUUGGAAACUGUGCGGCUUGAGUGUCGGAGAGGC
rnacentral:rRNA from 1 species